rnacentral:lncRNA from 1 species
GAGUUGGGCUGUUGGGGUUACUGGAGGACUAGAGUUGGGCUGUUGGGAGGACUGGAGGACUGGAGUUGGGCUUUUGGGGUUACUGGAGGACUGGAGUUGGGCUGUUGGGGUUACUGGAGGACUGGAGUUGGGCUGUUGGGGUUACUGGAGGACUGGAGUUGGGCUGUUGGGAGGACUGGAGGACUGGAGGACUGGAGGACUGGAGUUGGGCUGUUGGGAGGACUGGAGGACUGGAGGACUGGAGGACUGGAGUUGGGCUGUUGGGAGGACUGGAGGACUGGAGUUGGGCUGUUGGGAGGACUGGAGUUGGGCUGUUGGGAGGACUGGAGGACUGGAGUUGGGCUGUUGGGAGGACUGGAGGACUGGAGUUGGGCUGUUGGGGUUACUGGAGGACUGGAGUUGGGCUGUUGGGAGGACUGGAGGACUGGAGUUUGGCUGUUGGGAGGACUGGAGGACUGGAGUUCGGCUGUUGGGAGGACUGGAGGACUGGAGUUGGGGCUGUUGGGAGGACUGGAGGACUGGAGUUUGGGCUGUUGGGAGGACUGGAGGACUGGAGUUGGGCUGUUGGGGUUACUGGAGGACUGGAGUUGGGCUGUUGGGGGGACUGGAGGACUGGAGUUGGGCUGUUGGGGUUACUGGAGGACUGGAGUUGGGCUGUUGGGGUUACUGGAGGACUGGAGUUGGGCUGUUGGGGUUACUGGAGGACUGGAGUUGGGCUGUUGGGGGAUGACUGGAGUUGGGCUGUUGGGGGGACUGGAGUUGGGCUGUUGGGGGUACAUGAGGACUGGAGUUUGGCUGUUGGGGGUGCUGGAGGACUGGAGUUUUGCUGUUGGGGGUACUGGAGGACUGGAGUUGGGCUGUUGGGAGUACUGUAGUAGUAGCUAGUACUGUUAGCUGUUAGCUACUGAAGCUAGUAUUGUUAGCUGUUAGCUAGUUAGUACUGUUAGCUGUUAGCUAGCUAGUACUGUUAGCUGUUAGCUUUUUAGUAUUGUUAGCUGUUAGCUACUGUAGCUAGUAUUGUAAGCUAGCCAGAUAGCCACGAAGAAAUGUUAGCUAGCUACCCUAGAAUUUACCUAACAUUAGUAACAUUAGUUUUAGGUAGAGGUAGUGAGGGGGUCAGGUCUGUGUGGUUGGUGAUGGUGUAGUAGAGGUAGUGAGGGGGUCAGGUCUGUGUGGUUGGUGAU